rnacentral:rRNA from 1 species
AUUGAACGCUGGCGGCAGGCCUAACACAUGCAAGUCGAGCGAGCGGCGGACGGGUGAGUAAUGUAUGGGGCUCUGCCCGAUAGCGGGGGAUAACUACUGGAAACGGUGGCUAAUACCGCAUACUAUCGGAUGAACCCCUAUGGGAUUAGCUAGUAGGUGGGGUAAAGGCUCACCUAGGCGACGAUCUCUAGCUGGUCGGCGAGGAUGAUCAGCCACACUGGGACUGAGCCACGUCCCAGACUCCUACGGGAGGCAGCAGGGGGGAAUAUUGCACAAUGGGCGCAAGCCUGAUGCAGCCAUGCCGCGUGUAUGAAGAAGGCCUUCGGGUUGUAAAGUACUUUCAGCGAGGAGGCGUUACUCGCAGAAGAAGCACCGGCUAACUCCGUGCCAGCAGCCGCGGUAAUAC